CAGGUAUGUCCUUAGCAGAAGCAGAGAGACUAGCAAAGCCUAUCAUGGCAGCCCUUAUCUCCACACUGCAAUUGCUCUUCCUCGGGGCUCUGAUUUCUCCCGUCUAUUUGGAGGAUGCUUGUCACCCUAUCCAGAAUGCCACUGCUUCUGGCUCUUACAGUCUAUCUGUGAACCCUGCUAACUACAUGGCAAACACAAGCUACAAUGUAACCAUCAGUGGACUCGUGGAUGGCAGCUCACUUCUCCUGCAGGCCCUCAAUUCCCAGAACUCCUCUGUAGGCCGGUGGGAAGGACAAGUUGUGAACUGCAGCGACGGCCUAUCAGCAGCGCAGGAAAAUAUCACCAACAAAGCCACAGCCACAGUACAAUGGAGCUCUCCAGACAAUGAGUCAGCCCCGGUGGAAAUAAGGGUAUUUGUGACUCUUUCCAAUAGCUCUACCCUGCUCCAGAAGACAACUCUAGAUACAGCAUCUACAGCCUCACCUGGAUCGACAACAGAGACACCCACCACCAGCUCCAAAAUCACAUCCUCCAGCACCACCAAUUCCGUCUCCACAGUGCAGGCCAGCUCCUUCUUCCUGGCAGCCGUCCACCUGCUGUCAGUCUUUGUUACCUGCAAACUGUUCUCCUAGUGGAAAACAGCACCCCAGUCAAGCCAUGCUCUGCCAUCUUUGCUUUCCUGCUGGAUGCAAGGGUGGACGGCUGAUAUACUCAGGAAGUCUCUCUUCUACUGUUAUGUAUUUAAAAAUGAUGACUGCACUUUCUUUUACACCCUACUUGACCAGAGAGCUGACACCCAACCCUAUUGCCAGCAGCAGGAAACACAUGAAGAAAUUCCGGCACAUACUUGUCUCGAGAGUUUUCAUGAGCUGAAAUGUUCUGUAGCAAGUCAGGAUUUGAUACAUUCAUAGCGUGUAGAAUAGCGUCGGGUAGAGUAGUCCGACAAGGUGACUGAACAAGGGAACACUGGGGGUUCCUUCCAUCCUGAUCUCCUACAGUUCUAUGAAGCAGAGACAGCAUGUCUCCCCCACCAGGCGGGCUAAGCUGCUUUCCACAUUAGGGCACUGCAGGUUGAUAACGGGCAUGGGUGAGGGUCUUCCACAGCUGCUGCUGCAUCCCAUUUGCUGUGCACACAGGGAAUGGAGCCAGUGUCUUUUCUGAGCUCAUCGACAGUCGCUUACAGGGCCCUGACUGAGAUGGGGCAUUGUAAUCAGUCGGACUUGCAGAGAAUUGCGAAGGGCAGGGCAGAUUUAAACACAGUUCAGACUGAUUACAGCCUGAAUGAGAUCCAAAUUUAAAUGAUCAUGAAAGAAGUAAAUACACUGUUUUUCAGGCUAGCCUGCCAUAUGAAGGCAAGUCCCUUCCAUAAAUCAAAGUAGAACCCCUGCUGGCAGGGCCUUCUCCAUGAAGGCCCCCUGACUGGAAUUCGUUGCCAGUUUCAAUUCUGUUGUACUUCAGGGCACCCUGCAAUACCCCCCUUGAUUUCUCUCUGGUGUUUUGGGGCAGGACCCUGAGAUGAAGGAAGGGUUAGGUCUCUGAAAUGAAUAGGAUUUUUUUUUCAUAGACAGCAGAUGAUUUUCACUGCCAUGUUGGCUGGAAUGUGCCAUUGAAUAUAUGUUGAUAAAUUUUCUU
ensembl:lncRNA